ACAUGCUUCAGCCAUGGUGGU
rnacentral:siRNA from 1 species